GCAUAAAACAAUUUGUAAUUUAGCAAUAUUGUUUAAAUUUUAUAUUUCACAUCUAUGAAAUAAUUCCUCCUUGGAAUUAAAUUUUGUCUCAGCGUCAUUUUUCCUUGGUGACCGAACGGGACAGCAUAAUUGACAUCAACAUUAGCAACAUGUGCUCGUGUGUGCAGCAACCAAGGCAGCAACAAAAACAGUCGCUGACAGUCGUGCAUGCGUGCUGCACUGCAUUCUGCGCUUUGUCCUGAUCGCCUUGCGUGCUUCGUGCGACCGUCUGACAGCACUAUGAUCACCCACGCGUACGUGCGGCACGAAAUCGACAAACAUUUGGCAAUUGUGCCAGUGACAGACAUAAAGAACUUCAAGCCUGACGACGACUUUUCGGCGGCUUUUUAUAUGGUUAAGUGGACGGACGCGGCCGGCACGUGUGCCCACUACCUUGCCAGAAUUUUGCAGAUCGGAGGUUGUGGCGCGACUAGACCGGAAAGGGACCAUGAACAGUAUCCCGCAUUGCAUUUUUCUUAGUAAUAAAGCUUUAAAUCCUACUUUUCA